AUUGAACGCUGGCGGCAGGCCUAACACAUGCAAGUCGAACGGUAACAGGAAGAAGCUUGCUUCUUUGCUGGCGAGUGGCGGACGGGUGAGUAAUGUCUGGGAAACUGCCUGAUGGAGGGGGAUAACUACUGGAAACGGUAGCUAAUACCGCAUAACGUCGCAAAACCAAAGAGGGGGACCUUCGGGCCUCUUGCCAUCGGAUGUGCCCAGAUGGGAUUAGCUAGUAGGUGGGGUAACGGCUCACCUAGGCGACGAUCCCUAGCUGGUCUGAGAGGAUGACCAGCCACACUGGAACUGAGACACGGUCCAGACUCCUACGGGAGGCAGCAGUGGGGAAUAUUGCACAAUGGGCGCAAGCCUGAUGCAGCCAUGCCGCGUGUAUGAAGAAGGCCUUCGGGUUGUAAAGUACUUUCAGCGGGGAGGAAGGGAGUAAAGUUAAUACCUUUGCUCAUUGACGUUACCCGCAGAAGAAGCACCGGCUAACUCCGUG
rnacentral:rRNA from 1 species